rnacentral:rRNA from 1 species
CAAGUACCGUGAGGGAAAGUUGCAAAGAACUUUGAAGGGAGAUUUCAAGAAAACGUGAUUCCUAGCGGUUGAAGCGGAGAGAGUUGACGUAGCUCGGCGGCUAAGCUUAGUGUUGUCUUUUUGAAGGCUUCGCUUUGUGGUGUCCGCUUAUAGCUGCGCCGGUAGCGUUGUUCGAGCUUUCUGACCUGGUUAGUGUUGCCCACUUCGGUGGUGUCUUGCUGCCGGCGAGGUCUGCCGUAUUUACGUUUAAUUUGCCUUACGGCAAGUACCGGUGUGAAGGUCAGCCACUUUUCCGACCCGUCUUGAAACACGGACCGAGGAGUGUAACUUGUACGCGAGUCAGAGGGUGGAAAACCCUACGGCGCAAUGAAAGUAAAGGUCGGUUAACCGGCUGACAUGGGAUCCGUGCUUCGGCGCGGCGCACCAUGGCCCUGUCUUGAGAGCUUGCUCUUGGGCAGAGGUAGAGCGUACAGGUUGCGACCCGAAAGAUGGUGAACUAUACUUGAGCAGGACGAAGCCAGAGGAAACUCUGGUGGAAGUCCGUAUCGGUUCUGACGUGCAAAUCGAUCGAUAGACUUGAGUAUAGGGGCGAAAGACUAAUCGAACCAUCUAGUAGCUGGUUCCUUCCGA